CACAGCAAUAGUUAACUUUUCAAAUUCGGGUUUAAGGAAUCAAUAUCGUGCAAAUUUGACAACGUUGUUGAUAUCAAUGAUUCAAAGGAGAUAUGAUGCCUUGUUGUUCUUAUUCUUGAUCUAUGGAGCGUUGUUAAUAGCAAGGGUAUAAAACACAUUGAAAUGAUUGUAAUGGAUGCAAAUGUUUGAUGCAUUAUGGAUGAUCGAAUUCAGGUUUUGAUUCGAAGCGACCAUACCGCAAAGUGGAAACAACUGUUGGAAGAAGAUAUGACUUGCAUAAUAAAUAAUGGUAAUGUGUAUGACAAUGACUUUCAAUGGAAGGUUUGCAAUGACAUGAAGAAGUUUGUUUUCCUAAGUGGUACAACUGUGAAGCCCAUUGAGCUUGGCAAUAUUCACCCUAAAAAGUUUUUCUUCAAAGAAUUUUCUGAAAUCCUUAAAGGAGAUCGUAAAGUAGACAGACUUGAAGUUAUUUCCUUUACAUGAUAUUAUAUUGAUAAAAUAGCAUCUUGCUCAAUAUCUUUUUCAAUUGUAACCUAAUAUGUCUUUAUUUAUCAAAUAUUAUAGGUGUUGUCCAUGAAAUUAACAAUUAUCAGUCGAAGUCAGGCGGGAGGAAGAUUGUGGUUUCUUUGAGACUGAGGGAUUUUGGGUAAAUCUGUCAUAUUCUGUAACAUUUGAUACUUUUAUAUAUUGAAGUUACAUAAUUUUAAACUUUCUUCAAAAUUAUGUAUAAGGGAAAUAUUAUAAUCUGCA